CGUUUUGAGGAUUUGAUUUGAAAAUUACAUUCCGUGGACUUGCGAGGUCAACCAUUUGUUAACUACCUCUGCAUUCUGUUCAUUCUCCACAACCAUAUCGCACCAGUGGCUACCCAGAGACCUUGACUUCACUAUCUAAGUUGCUGAUAUUUUGGCGGUUUCAUCAUUACAACUUGUCCACCUACAAAGGACUACCAUGUUUGCUCAGAAGAGCUGAACUGAACUGCUCUUAUUGUGCUGAGAGUCGUGAAGGCAUUGUCAGCGUGGAUAUUAUUAGCGGCCAUGCUUUUCUUAUUGCACUGUGUGUCAGGUCCUCUUCAAGCAUGCUGAAGGAUAUCGCAGGAUGGGCUCUCUCUCUUGCUUGUACUUUCUUAUCUUCCUAUUAUGGAAUCUUUGCUAUCCACUCAGUGUAAUAUCAUGAAGACCUUGCUGUCUAAGAAGGAAGUGGGAAGUCAGUGCCUCUGCAUCUCGUGGCCACACUUCAACCAAACUGAAGGAAUCUUGGUGAUUUCUUCCCCCUAUAUAUAUAGGAGUUCUGUGGUUCUUCUCGAGAUUGAAAAUAGUUGUUCUUUUCAAUCCCUUUAUUGUAAAGGAGUCGUUCUCUAUGUAUUUCUGUUUUGUCAAACUGGUUUGUUCCAGGAUUGAAAACAGUUUGAAAAACAUCUAGUGAGUCUGAUUGCCGCGGUCAGUGCAAUCCCAGAGUUGUAAACAAGUCAGUCCAAGAAUGAUUGUCGCGGUCAGUACAAUCCUUGUGUUGUGACUUGUAAUCUGUUUUUCACUAGUGAUUUGGUUUGGUCUUUCAAGAGUUAAAGGCCACGCA